AGGUCUAAAAAAAAACGUAAUACGAUUCUAAAAAUAAGAGAAGCUUUGUUUAGGUGUAGUAAAAAAGAUAUUCAUAUUGUACUUUUGUGGAUACCUAGUCAUUGUGGUAUAGCGGGUAAUGAAACUGCUGACUCUUGUGCAAAAGAUAAAAUUAAAUCUAUCAAAAUUAUCAAAUCUAUCCUCACUGUGUGAAGACUUAGAACGUGACAUUGGCGGAAUUGUGAUUUACACAGAUGUCGCCAUUAUAAAUAAAGUGAAGUGAAGUGAAAAUUU